AUAAUAUUUCUGUGAGUGUCGCAGGUAUGAGGGAGAUCUGAGGAAGGGGCAAGAGAAGAUCAGCACCAACCAGUGCUGCAUCGACAGGCUUAACAAGGAGCUGGCCAAGGUGCUGGACCUCGCUGGGGGUAGCGAGGCACCUCCUGCAGAACGCGAGGAGCGACGCCUGCGACUCCUACUGGCAGAGCGUGAGAAGGAGAGAAAAACACUGGAGGAGGAGGCUCUUACCGUGCAGCACCAUCUGCUGGAGACCAGGGACGCCAGGGAGGCCCUCACCAACAAUACUACCAGACUACAGCAAGAACUAAAUGUGUUGCGGGGACGGCAGACACGACUGGAGGGUGAGGUGGAGCACCAGCGUGGCGCCUUCAGGGAGGCACAGCUGCGGCAGGAGGGCUGCAUAGAGCAGUAACCACAUUAGACACCAGACUCCACUUCGAGAACCAGGCGA